rnacentral:rRNA from 1 species
AUUGAACGCUGGCGGCAGGCCCAACACAUGCAAGUCGAGCGAGACCUUCGGGUCUAGCGGCGGACCGGGUUAGUAACGCGUGGGAACGUGCCCUUCUCUGCGGAAUAGCCACUGGAAACGGUGAGUAAUACCGCAUACGCCCUUCGGGGGAAAGAUUUAUCGGAGAAGGAUCGGCCCGCGUUAGAUUAGAUAGUUGGUGGGGUAACGGCCUACCAAGUCUACGAUCUAUAGCUGGUUUUAGAGGAUGAUCAGCAACACUGGGACUGAGACACGGCCCAGACUCCUACGGGAGGCAGCAGUGGGGAAUCUUAGACAAUGGGCGCAAGCCUGAUCUAGCCAUGCCGCGUGUGUGAUGAAGGUCUUAGGAUCGUAAAGCACUUUCGCCAGGGAUGAUAAUGACAGUACCUGGUAAAGAAACCCCGGCUAACUCCGUG